rnacentral:rRNA from 1 species
AUUGAACGCUGGCGGAAUGCUUUACACAUGCAAGUCGAACGGCAGCACGGGGCAACCUGGUGGCGAGUGGCGAACGGGUGAGCAAUAUAUCGGAACGUGCCCAAUCGUGGGGGGAUAACGUAGCGAAAGUUACGCUAAUACCGCAUACGAUCUACGGAUGAAAGCGGGGGAUCGCAAGACCUCGCGCGAACGGAGCGGCCGAUAUCAGAUUAGGUAGUUGGUGGGGUAAAGGCUCACCAAGCCAACGAUCUGUAGCUGGUCUGAGAGGACGACCAGCCACACUAGAACUGAGACACGGUCCAGACUCCUACGGGAGGCAGCAGUGGGGAAUUUUGGACAAUGGGCGCAAGCCUGAUCCAGCCAUUCCGCGUGCAGGAUGAAGGCCUCGGGUUGUAACUGCUUUGUACGGUAACGAAACGGUCUGCCCUAAUACGGCAGGCUAAUGACGGUACCGUAAGAAUAAGACACCGGCUAACUACGUGCCAGCAGCCGCGGUAA